rnacentral:rRNA from 1 species
UACGGAGGAUGCAAGCGUUGUCCGGAAUGAUUGGGCGUAAAGCGUCCGCAGGUGGUUAUACAAGUCUGCUGUCAAAGCGCAAGGCUCAACCUUGUAAAGGCAGUGGAAACUGUGUGACUAGAGAGUGAUAGGGGCAGAGGGAAUUCCCAGUGUAGCGGUGAAAUGCGUAGAGAUUGGGAAGAACACCGGUGGCGAAAGCGCUCUGCUGGGUCAUAUCUGACACUGAGGGACGAAAGUGUGGGGAUCAAACAGG